rnacentral:rRNA from 1 species
CGGGACACGUGGUAUCCUGUCUGAAUAUGGGGGGACCAUCCUCCAAGGCUAAAUACUCCUGACUGACCGAUAGUGAACCAGUACCGUGAGGGAAAGGCGAAAAGAACCCCGGCGAGGGGAGUGAAAAAGAACCUGAAACCGUGUACGUACAAGCAGUGGGAGCACGCUUAGGCGUGUGACUGCGUACCUUUUGUAUAAUGGGUCAGCGACUUAUAUUCUGUAGCAAGGUUAACCGAAUAGGGGAGCCGAAGGGAAACCGAGUCUUAACUGGGCGUUAAGUUGCAGGGUAUAGACCCGAAACCCGGUGAUCUAGCCAUGGGCAGGUUGAAGGUUGGGUAACACUAACUGGAGGACCGAACCGACUAAUGUUGAAAAAUUAGCGGAUGACUUGUGGCUGGGGGUGAAAGGCCAAUCAAACCGGGAGAUAGCUGGUUCUCCCCGAAAGCUAUUUAGGUAGCGCCUCGUGAAUUCAUCUCCGGGGGUAGAGCACUGUUUCGGCAAGGGGGUCAUCCCGACUUACCAACCCGAUGCAAACUGCGAAUACCGGAGAAUGUUAUCACGGGAGACACACGGCGGGUGCUAACGUCCGUCGUGAAGAGGGAAACAACCCAGACCGCCAGCUAAGGUCCCAAAGUCAUGGUUAAGUGGGAAACGAUGUGGGAAGGCCCAGACAGCCAGGAUGUUGGCUUAGAAGCAGCCAUCAUUUAAAGAAAGCGUAAUAGCUCACUGGUCGAGUCGGCCUGCGCGGAAGAUGUAACGGGGCUAAACCAUGCACCGAAGCUGCGGCAGCGACGCUGAUGCGUUGUUGGGUAGGGGAGCGUUCUGUAAGCCUGCGAAGGUGUGCUGUGAGGCAUGCUGGAGGUAUCAGAAGUGCGAAUGCUGACAUAAGUAACGAUAAAGCGGGUGAAAAGCCCGCUCGCCGGAAGACCAAGGGUUCCUGUCCAACGUUAAUCGGGGCAGGGUGAGUCGACCCCUAAGGCGAGGCCGAAAGGCGUAGUCGAUGGGAAACAGGUUAAUAUUCCUGUACUUGGUGUUACUGCGAAGGGGGGACGGAGAAGGCUAUGUUGGCCGGGCGACGGUUGUCCCGGUUUAAGCGUGUAGGCUGGUUUUCCAGGCAAAUCCGGAAAAUCAAGGCUGAGGCGUGAUGACGAGGCACUACGGUGCUGAAGCAACAAAUGCCCUGCUUCCAGGAAAAGCCUCUAAGCAUCAGGUAACAUCAAAUCGUACCCCAAACCGACACAGGUGGUCAGGUAGAGAAUACCAAGGCGCUUGAGAGAACUCGGGUGAAGGAACUAGGCAAAAUGGUGCCGUAACUUCGGGAGAAGGCACGCUGAUAUGUAGGUGAAGUCCCUCGCGGAUGGAGCUGAAAUCAGUCGAAGAUACCAGCUGGCUGCAACUGUUUAUUAAAAACACAGCACUGUGCAAACACGAAAGUGGACGUAUACGGUGUGACGCCUGCCCGGUGCCGGAAGGUUAAUUGAUGGGGUUAGCGCAAGCGAAGCUCUUGAUCGAAGCCCCGGUAAACGGCGGCCGUAACUAUAACGGUCCUAAGGUAGCGAAAUUCCUUGUCGGGUAAGUUCCGACCUGCACGAAUGGCGUAAUGAUGGCCAGGCUGUCUCCACCCGAGACUCAGUGAAAUUGAACUCGCUGUGAAGAUGCAGUGUACCCGCGGCAAGACGGAAAGACCCCGUGAACCUUUACUAUAGCUUGACACUGAACAUUGAGCCUUGAUGUGUAGGAUAGGUGGGAGGCUUUGAAGUGUGGACGCCAGUCUGCAUGGAGCCGACCUUGAAAUACCACCCUUUAAUGUUUGAUGUUCUAACGUUGACCCGUAAUCCGGGUUGCGGACAGUGUCUGGUGGGUAGUUUGACUGGGGCGGUCUCCUCCUAAAGAGUAACGGAGGAGCACGAAGGUUGGCUAAUCCUGGUCGGACAUCAGGAGGUUAGUGCAAUGGCAUAAGCCAGCUUGACUGCGAGCGUGACGGCGCGAGCAGGUGCGAAAGCAGGUCAUAGUGAUCCGGUGGUUCUGAAUGGAAGGGCCAUCGCUCAACGGAUAAAAGGUACUCCGGGGAUAACAGGCUGAUACCGCCCAAGAGUUCAUAUCGACGGCGGUGUUUGGCACCUCGAUGUCGGCUCAUCACAUCCUGGGGCUGAAGUAGGUCCCAAGGGUAUGGCUGUUCGCCAUUUAAAGUGGUACGCGAGCUGGGUUUAGAACGUCGUGAGACAGUUCGGUCCCUAUCUGCCGUGGGCGCUGGAGAACUGAGGGGGGCUGCUCCUAGUACGAGAGGACCGGAGUGGACGCAUCACUGGUGUUCGGGUUGUCAUGCCAAUGGCACUGCCCGGUAGCUAAAUGCGGAAGAGAUAAGUGCUGAAAGCAUCUAAGCACGAAACUUGCCCCGAGAUGAGUUCUCCCUGACUCCUUGAGAGUCCUGAAGGAACGUUGAAGACGACGACGUUGAUAGGCCGGGUGUGUAAGCGCAGCGAUGCGUUGAGCUAACCGGUACUAAUGAACCGUGAGGCUUAACCUUACAACGCCGAAGCUGUU